CAAUAGCGUAUAUUUAAGUUGUUGCAGUUAAAAAGCUCGUAGUUGGAUUUCGGGUGGGACGCAGCGGUCUCGCAUUGCGUUUGUACUGCUGCAGCCCUCCUUCUUGCCGGGGGCGGCCUCUCGGACUUCACUGUCUGGGGGUCAGAAUCGGCGAUGUUACUUUGGGUAAAUUAGAGUGUUCAAAGCAAGCUUACGCUCUGAAUAUAAUAGCAUGGGAUAACACGACAGGACUCUGGCCUAUCGUGUUGGUCUAUAGGACCAGAGUAAUGAUUAAGAGGGACAGUCGGGGGCAUUCGUAUUCCGUUGUCAGAGGUGAAAUUCUUGGAUUUACGGAAGACGAACAUCUGCGAAAGCAUUUGCCAAGGAUGUUUUCAUUGA
rnacentral:rRNA from 1 species